rnacentral:rRNA from 1 species
GAUGAACGCUAGCGGCGGGCCUAAUACAUGCAAGUCGAACGGUGUCUUCGGACAUAGUGGCGCACGGGUGCGUAACACGUAUGCAACCUACCUUACAUUGGGGGAUAGCCUUUCGAAAGGGAGAUUAAUACCGCAUAAGACAGUAGCUGGGCAUCCAGCAGCUGUUAAAGAUUUAUCGAUGUAAGCUGGGCAUGCGUCCAAUUAGCUAGUUGGUGAGGUAACGGCUCACCAAGGCAAUGAUUGGUAGGGGAACUGAGAGGUCAAUCCCCCACCCGGGCACUGAGAUACGGGCCAGACUCCUACGGGAGGCAGCAGUAGGGAAUAUUGGGCAAUGGACGCAAGUCUGACCCAGCCAUGCCGCGCGCAGGAUGAAGGCGUUAUGCGUUGUAAACUGCUUUUAUACAGGAAGAAACGACUCUUGCGAGAGGCAUUGACGGUACUGUAUGAAUAAGCACCGGCUAACUCCCUGCCAGCCGCCGCGGUAAAAC